rnacentral:rRNA from 1 species
ACAAGCGGUGGAUGAUGUGGUUUAAUUCGAUGCAACGCGAAAACCUUACCACCUUUGACAUGGCAGGAAUCCCGAAGAGAUUUGGGAGUGCUCGAAAGAGAACCUGCACACAGGUGCUGCAUGGCUGUCGUCAGCUCGUGUCGUGAGAUGUUGGGUUAAGUCCCGCAACGAGCGCAACCCUUGCCAUUAGUUGCUACGAAAGGGCACUCUAAUGGGACUGCCGGUGACAAACCGGAGGAAGGUGGGGAUGACGUCAAGUCCUCAUGGCCCUUAUAGGUGGGGCUACACACGUCAUACAAUGGCCGGUACAGAGGGUAGCCAACCCGCGAGGGGGAGCCAAUCCCACAAAGCCGGUCGUAGUCCGGAUCGCAGUCUGCAACUCGACUGCGUGAAGUCGGAAUCGCUAGUAAUCGCGGAUCAGCAUGUCGCGGUGAAUACGUUCCCGGGUCUU